rnacentral:rRNA from 1 species
GAUGAACGCUGGCGGCGUGCCUAAUACAUGCGAGUCGAGCGAACAGACGAGGAGCUUGCUCCUCUGACGUUAGCGGCGGACGGGUGAGUAACACGUAGAUAACCUACCUAUAAGACUGGGAUAACUUCGGGAAACCGGAGCUAAUACCGGAUAAUAUUUUGAACCGCAUGGUUCGAUAGUGAAAGAUGGCUUUGCUGUCACUUAUAGAUGGAUCCGCGCCGCAUUAGCUAGUUGGUAAGGUAACGGCUUACCAAGGCAACGAUACGUAGCCGACCUGAGAGGGUGAUCGGCCACACUGGAACUGAGACACGGUCCAGACUCCUACGGGAGGCAGCAGUAGGGAAUCUUCCGCAAUGGGCGAAAGCCUGACGGAGCAACGCCGCGUGAGUGAUGAAGGUCUUCGGAUCGUAAAACUCUGUUAUUAGGGAAGAACAAAUGUGUAAGUAACUAUGCACGUCUUGACGGUACCUAAUCAGAAAGCCACGGCUAACUACGUG